UUUGGCAAUGGUAGAACUCACAC
rnacentral:ncRNA from 5 species